rnacentral:lncRNA from 1 species
AUGCGACAUGGACCCAAAUUAAUGUCAUAUGAGCCUGGCAGUAGUGACGGUCCUAGAGAAUACACAAAGUGCGGCUGUGGCCUUUGGUUGAGAAGGGAAGGACUUCACGACGAGGUGGCAUCUGAGAGCACCUCGGGCUCGCUCCCUCCUACUCAGGAGAAGCUGAGGAAACGAGCUCGGCUCCCGGCUCCCGGCUCCCGGAGCCAGCGGCGACUGUGGAGACGCGGCCAGAAUCCUCAACUGCUUGGAAAUCCAUCACCUUGGUUCCCUGAGACUUGGAGAAUGCAGCCGACCUGGUGA